UGGAUGAUGUGGAUUAAUUCGAUGCAACGCGAAAACCUUACCUACCCUUGACAUGUCUGGAACCUUGCUGAGAGGCGAGGGUGCCUUCGGAGCCAGAACACAGGUGCUGCAUGGCUGUCGUCAGCUCGUGUCGUGAGAUGUUGGGUUAAGUCCCGCAACGAGCGCAACCCUUGUCACUAGUUGCCACCAUUGAGUUGGGCACUCUAGUGAGACUGCCGGUGACAAACCGGAGGAAGGUGGGGAUGGCGUCAAGUCCUCAUGGCCCUUAUGGGUAGGGCUUCACACGUCAUACAAUGGUCGGUACAGAGGGUUGCCAAACCGCGAGGUGGAGCCAAUCCCUUAAAGCCGAUCGUAGUCCGGAUCGUAGUCUGCAACUCGACUACGUGAAGUCGGAAUCGCUAGUAAUCACAGAUCAGCAUGCUGCGGUGAAUACGUUCCCGGGUCUU
rnacentral:rRNA from 1 species